GACGAACGCUGGCGGCGUGCUUAACACAUGCAAGUCGAACGGAUUGCUUGGUGCUUGCACUGAGUGGUUAGUGGCGAACGGGUGAGUAACACGUGAGUAACCUGCCCCCUUCUUUGGGAUAAGCACCUGAAAGGGUGUCUAAUACUGAUUAUUCUGCUGGAAUCGCAUGGUUUUGGUUGGAAAGGUUUUUUCUGGUGGGGGAUGGGCUCGCGGCUUAUCAGCUUGUUGGUGGGGUAAUGGCUUACCAAGGCUUUGACGGGUAACCGGCCUGAGAGGGUGACCGGUCACAUUGGGACUGAGGUACGGCCCAGACUCCUACGGGAGGCAGCAGUGGGGAAUAUUGCACAAUGGACGAAAGUCUGAUGCAGCGACGCCGCGUGAGGGAUGAAGGCCUUCGGGUUGUAAACCUUUUUCGCUUUUGACCAAGGCAGCAUUUUGGUGUUGUUGAGGGUAUGAGGUAAAGAAGCUCCGGCUAACUACGUGCCAGCAGCCGCGGUAAGAC
rnacentral:rRNA from 1 species